UUGUUUUCCACGGCUGGUGACAGAUUUGCUUCUGUUACGUACUGGAGAGGGCCCCGGCUAAUUAGGAUGGCUCAAUCUGGGAUCUUACCUUUUGUGUGAAGCCCAGAGAAAUUGGGUAGGAAGACAACAGAGUCCUGGGGAGAUGGGCAAAGGGGGAGCUGUGCUCCUUUUUAAGAUUUGGACUUCAGAAGGCACUAGAAUGUGUAGUUGCGGGCGGGCGGGCGUGCGUGCGUGCGUUUCCUUUCUCUUUCUCUCUUCACCCCCCUCCCUCUGCCUCCCUUCUCAUUACUUCAAUUUGUGUUUGCCCCUUUUAGGAAGCCACUUUAAUUUUCUUGCAGAUGACAGAUUUACUCGCUGCUGUUGCAGGUUGCGUUGAGAGCUGCGGUCUUGCUUGAAUCAAAUAGAGGAGUUCGGCUCCUUCCUAAAGAAGUGUGUGCACACGUGGUUUUCACAAGGGCUUCAUCUUCUGUCUGCUCGCAGUCCCAGCCAGAGAACAUAAGGUCUUAGGAUUCCGCCGUGGGAAAACCCUCAACCUUCAACCGUCGUGCCUGACACAUCAUAAGUGCUCGAUAAAGCAAAGCCCCCUGUUGGGAGAGCUGGGUGGACAUGUGCACAGCGUGCAGAUGGCUCAUAACCAGCAGCCCCGCUAGCAAGAGUCAGGAACACAUCCAGGGCUUCUGCUUUGGAAACGUCUAUUUGCAACCAAGGGAAAAAAGAGAAACACAACAACUGGUAUGUCAGUAAGUCACCCUCUAAGAAAACAUGUUUUCUGACACCUCCUCCAUGUUCAGAGAUAGCCUUUCUGAGCAAAGAGCACCUGUGCGCUGAGGAUCAUGGUUAGUCUGGGUGCCAUGGACUUCCUGUAGGCUGACCCCCUGCCCCACCAACAAUCUUCAUCCACGUCCUCAGACGCCCUGGGCAGCCCUCUCGCCAUGGCACGUGAAAUUCCCAAGCACUGUGGAGCGCCUGGAUGGCUCAGUUGGUUAAGCAUCCGAUUCUUGAUCUCAGCUCAGGCCCUGAUCUCAGGGUCAUGAGUUCAAGCUCCAUAUUGUGCCCUGCAAUGGGCGUGAAGCCUACUUUAAAUAUACAUAUAUAAUUCCCAAGCACUGAAUGUUUCAUCCAGCAGUUUUAGCACCAGAUCAUUAAGUGGAUUUGGGUUAAAGGGUGCCAUGCAUGAGUCCUUGCACAAUGUGAGCUGAUUCUGUUCAGGACCAGACUGUAGAAUCGCCUGGUGAACGUCCCCAAACGACAGUCGGUCUAGGGCCUGGAGUCUGGAGAUUCUGAUUCUGAGAGUCCCUCCAGUGAUUCAGGCAUCCGGAUCCCUGGAACCCCGGCUGGCGCACAAUGCUGAUGAACGCUUGCUUUGGCCCACGAAGGCCCGUGUGACUCCAGAACGUUCCCCUGCUUACCCCUUAUCAAAUUGUCCAU